rnacentral:rRNA from 1 species
UACGUAGGGCGCAAGCGUUGUCCGGAAUUAUUGGGCGUAAAGAGCUCGUAGGCGGCUUGUUACGUCGGAUGUGAAAGCCCGGGGCUUAACUCCGGGUCUGCAUUCGAUACGGGCUAGCUAGAGUGUGGUAGGGGAGAUCGGAAUUCCUGGUGUAACAGUGAAAUGCGCAGAUAUCAGGAGGAACACCGGUGGCGAAGGCGGAUCUCUGGGCCAUUACUGACGCUGAGGAGCGAAAGCGUGGGGAGCGAACAGG